rnacentral:tRNA from 1 species
CGGGGAGUGGCGCAGCCUGGUAGCGCACGUGCUUUGGGUGCACGAGGUCGGGGGUUCGAAUCCCCCCUCCCCGACCA